rnacentral:tRNA from 1 species
CAGGCCGUAGGCGAUGGUCUCCGGGUCACCGAGGCUGCGGCCCUCGGCGACCUUGAUGGGGUCGAUGUCGCCGACCAGGUCCGC